rnacentral:lncRNA from 1 species
GUGAUUUAUGUGUAUCAACCAAUUAAAUCCUCCUGGCAACUUUAUGAUGUAGGUACCAAUAUUAUAAAAUAUUAAUGAUAUAUAAAUUAUUAUUAAAACAGGCAGCAAAACAAGUUGAGUAAAAUAAGAAAAUUGUGGAAAAAGGAAAGGAAUUGGGUCGUUUUUGUGUGUUCUGGGUAACACUUCCUUUUGAGACACUUGAUAUGCCUCAGGAGCUGCUUUGGAUGACAGAGGUCAGUGGGUUUCCUUUAAUGCAAAAAUCAAAACAAACAAGCAACUCUACAGUGAGUGAUGCCUAAAUCUAGCAACUGUGUAAUGUAACCAUUUGUUUCCAUGUUUCUGGUUGUCUCACCAGGUGCUAAUGACAGAGACCAACAUGGAAGGAAAGGAGUGAAUUCUCCCUCCAGGUGCCAUAGAUGACAUCUUUUUAGAUGGAUCUUUCGGUUUGCCUUUAUGAGAGGUUUAGUUGCCAAACUGGGAUUCAAACUUAAGAAGACUGGCAGACUGGAGCUCACCUCUCAACUACUAUACAGCACAACCUCCCUGGACAAUACCAUCUUUUCUACAAUAUGGUAAGGUUGAUAUAAGAGUAAGAAGACAUCAUAUUUAGGAAAGAACUCUAAACUAAAAAGGGUCAAACUUGGGUUAAUGAUAUUUUUUUUCUGGUAUGAAAUUUAAUCCACAAAAUUUUAGUGUGUAAGAAAAGUAACUUCAAAUAUUUCUAUGACAAAUUAAUAUCUGCUUUGAACUCCCAUUUCCCCUGACUUGAUAUGCAAGUUUUUGGGAACUUACAUAAUGC